CCCUUAGAUGUUCUGGGCCGCACGCGCGCUACACUGACGAAUGCAACGAGCUUAUAACCUUGGCCGAAAGGUCUGGGUAAUCUCCAAAUUUCGUCGUGAUGGGGAUAGAUUAUUGCAAUUAUUAAUCUUCAACGAGGAAUGCCUAGUAAGCGCAAGUCAUCAGCUUGCGUUGAUUACGUCCCUGCCCUUUGUACACACCGCCCGUCGCACCUACCGAUUGAAUGGUCCGGUGAAAUCUUGGGAUUUUGUUUUGUUUGCAUUUAUUUGUAUCGAGACGAGAGAACUUGAGUGAACCUUAUCACUUAGAGGAAGGAGAAGUCGUAACA
rnacentral:rRNA from 1 species